CCGCUUUGCCUCAACGGAGCUGGCGAUGAGGUUCUCCAUCUUCAGCUUAGUAUGGACACCAGCAAAGCUGGAGAGUUUCGGCUAGCACUGAGGGACAGUAGCGGAAGAGGCCGUAGUGUGCUGACUUGUGUAGAGGACUGCUAAUUCCUAUGUAGGUGACAUUACACUACUAUAGCUGAGACACAUAGUAAAACAGGUUGGGCCCCAUACAGGAUAUCUCUCACACACACACACUCACUGUAAUCAUCCAGAACACUGUCACAACAGGAUACUCCUAGCCACAGGUGCUAGCCGGCAGUUCGGCCACAACUCCCCUGAAGAUAGGGACGCAUACGCUCUUACACACUGACCCCAGAAGACAGGGACGACGCACAUACAGUACACACAUAGCUGCCGAGGACACCCAGAUAAGACACCCACAGAUUGGCAGAAAGCCUAGACUUAGAGACAAACUAACACACACACAUAAUCUCCCUCCCAGCCGAACAUUGUGUGACUGAAGAUAGCGCACACACCAGAUCUCCUUUUCAGCUGAACGGGGUGUGACGACCAAGAACAGGCAUGGCAGGAUUCUACGAUGACGGACAGACAACAGAGCCAAUGCCGGAUGACUACACCCCAGCCUGAUCCAAUCCGAAGAUCCGAUCUCCUAGAUAUCAACCUACUUUCUGUUCUGUAUAUGAAGCUUGUACCCAUUGUUAGCUAGUGUCUUUUUUGCUAGUCUCUGAUGAGCUAACAGAGGGGCCCGUAUAUACGCUGUACCAGAUAUCUCCACUUUGAAAUAAACCUGUCGCUUGUCGUACAAUCUAC